CUUUGAAACACCGGUUCUUGUUUGAUAACAGAAGUUAAGCAACAUCAAGCAUGGUUUGUACCUAGAUGGGUGACCGCUUGGGAAUACCAGGUAC